rnacentral:rRNA from 1 species
GGAUCAAUACGUCGGUCGUGCCUAGGUACGUACUGGCAUUGUAGGUCUCUCCCUUCUGACGAACCAUAAUGUCAUUUAUUUGGUGUUGCGGGGAAUUUGGACUGUUACUUUGAAAAAAUUAGAGUGUUUAAAGCAAGCUAACGCUUGAAUACAUUAGCAUGGAAUAAUGAAAUAGGACGUUCGAUCCUAUUUUGUUGGUUUCUAGGAUUGACGUA